rnacentral:sRNA from 1 species
UGAUGCGGUGACUCGAAAUGGACAUGCACGUCUAUACCUCCUGGUGUCACUAUCCAUCCCGGAUCUCCUGUGAUGAUUUCUGUUUCCGGACAGAUCACAAGUCCAGGAGUAAUGUCCAUGAUAUCAGGAUUCCCGGCCUUGCCUACGCCGACUAUCUUUCCAUCCUUUAUGCCUAUGUCACCCUUUAUAAUACCCAGAUAUGGAUCCAUAAUGAUGAUAUCAGUGAUCACUACAUCGAGGCCACCCUCAGGUGCUGUGAGUCCCGGUUUCUGUCCCAUACCAUCGCG